rnacentral:rRNA from 1 species
UACGUAGGUGGCAAGCGUUGUCCGGAAUUAUUGGGCGUAAAGCGCGCGCAGGCGGCUUCUUAAGUCUGAUGUGAAAUCUCGGGGCUCAACCCCGAGCGGCCAUUGGAAACUGGGAAGCUUGAGUACAGAAGAGGAGAGUGGAAUUCCACGUGUAGCGGUGAAAUGCGUAGAUAUGUGGAGGGACACCAGUGGCGAAGGCGACUCUCUGGUCUGUAACUGACGCUGAGGCGCGAAAGCGUGGGGAGCAAACAGG